rnacentral:misc_RNA from 1 species
UCCCUCCAUAACCCCCUCUCCUAACAUGAAGUUGUAGGCUUGUGCAAAUACAAGCCUUAUUCUGCUUGUUAGGUGCAAUAUUAUAUUUAAUCUUUUGUAUGCUGGUGCUUGUGAAUUGAAGUAGCUGGGAACAAAGCUUAUUAUUAAAAUUUAUUUAUUUGCUUUAUGAUUUUUAUUUGAUGUCCAUCUGUCUCUCAUCCACGUUCCUGAAUUUCAUGUGCAAGUAUUUUUGUUUAAUGUCAUCUCUCUCUCUCCACAUUCUUGAGUUUCAUGUGCAGGUAAG